AUGCAGUUCUUCUCCAGAAGUUGAGGAGGAAGUUAUGAAACAGGCAACUAUUUCACAAUUUCACUUCAAUUUCAUAACUUUUGAUGUCUGUAUUAGUCAGAAGUUGAACGGAAAUGCUAAAUAAGUCUAGCUCGAGAUGCGUGUGCUGGUUUGCCACUGUGCGAUCUGGUUCCUUUUCUCCUCGGGACAAUU
rnacentral:snoRNA from 1 species